rnacentral:rRNA from 1 species
UACGAAGGGGGCUAGCGUUGCUCGGAUUGACUGGGCGUAAAGGGCGCGUAGGCGGUUCGUACAGUCAGACGUGAAAUCCUGGGCUCAACCUGGGGGCUGCGUUUGAUACGUGCGGACUUGAGUGCGGAAGAGGGUCGUGGAAUUCCCAGUGGUAGAGGUGAAAUUCGUAGAUAUUGGGAAGAACACCGGUGGCGAAGGCGGCGAACCUGGGUCCGAUACU